rnacentral:misc_RNA from 1 species
UCAAGAAGCAUCUGCCAGCUAUUUGGAUUGGUUUUCCCGCCUUCUGUUACUAACUUCAGAGAUUUCUUCUCUUCAUCUGCUAUACCUUUGAUGCUCUCUGUUUAGAGAUUUUGGGUUAGCAAAACACACCACAUUACUAAAUGCCCACAGUGCUUCGUUUCACUUAAAACCACAACGCACCAUUUUGAUUAAUUGUCUUUCAUCCUUCAUGCCUUUUCUCUUAUUGUUCUUGUUGGAAACAACUAACAACUAAUAACGUACAGGUUGUUGUUAAGUCUAAUCUGAUUUAAUAUGAUAAAAUCAAGGUAUCCUACUCGUUGUCAUCCUAAUUUUCUUCUCCUAGGUUGAUGGUUUAGUAGUGAUGGGUUUCUUGAUCUUGACUGUCGGAGGAAGUAGUUUGUCUGUGUUGCCUCUGUUUGCUUCUCCCCGCGUUGUUGCACCAGCUUCGUCCGGCGAUACUUUGUAGUGGCUAUGGUAGUUUUUGUUCUUGUGUAUAGAGUGGUUUGGAUUGUUUUGCUGGGUUUUAUUGGGUUAUGGGUUUGGGUUUGAUUUUCUGUGUGGAGUUGAUUUUGAGCCUUUUUACUCUCUUUGUAAUCAGAUGUUGAUGUUUUUAUCCAAUGGGCCUUGUUUAAUACAAUGAAUAGCCUUUAAACAAAAAAACU